UAACUGAAGAGUUUGAUCAUGGCUCAGAUUGAACGCUGGCGGCAGGCUUAACACAUGCAAGUCGAGCGGAGAGAGGUAGCUUGCUACUGAUCUUAGCGGCGGACGGGUGAGUAAUGCUUAGGAAUCUGCCUAUUAGUGGGGGACAACAUUU
rnacentral:rRNA from 1 species